rnacentral:lncRNA from 1 species
CGUGCAGUGUACGUGUCAGUAUGGAGUAGAUGCCUGGAGAUCUCGCCCUCUACUGAUAUGUCGUGCUAUCGAAAGAUCAAGGUGAGUAUUAUACCAUAAGGCAGGGAUACUCUGGAGUUGCAGAUCACCUUCCUCAUCUGCCUCAGUAUCAUGGCCGGGAGAUUCAGGGGAAUACCCUAAAUAAUAUGCUCCAUCACAACUAGAUCUCGCUCUGAAAUGAGAUCAAAUCUCCCGCUCUUCGGAAAUAGAAUCCUAUCAAUGAUGUUGUGCAACAACCUCAUCUCUGCAGAAAGAGAGCUCGCUAUAACCUGCUCCGAGAAGUCGAAGUCUUCAUUCUCAAGAAUUAACUGCAGGGCUCUCAACUUGUUUUCUGGCUUUUCUGGAGUUGCUCCUUCGUAGGGGAGAUGAAGCAACUCACUCAAACUCUCUUCGAAAACUCGAACCCUAACUCCUCGAA